UUACAGGCUAUGAAGAGAACAAGUAGCAGAUGACAAGGCUCAGACAGAAAGUAACCGGUUGAUGAGAGGUGCACGAAGAGUCAGAUGUGAAUACAUCUUGGAGUUUCACACCGAACGCGCGGAAGCGCAAGUAAGCUGUGACGGAGUGGCGGACGUUAUACCUGCUACGGUAAUGUUAGUUACUGACUGAGGCAUUCGGUGCGAGCCGAAUGUGAAUUAAGGUGGUACCACGAGAGAAUAUACCUCGUCCUUAAA
rnacentral:ncRNA from 1 species